UCCACUUUAACAGUUUUAAAGUUUACAUAUCAUAGUGAAUACUCAAAGUCAAAUCUGAAGAGACCCACCCGAAGGCUGUCUAUGGCCCUGAGACCCACCCGUAGGCUGUCUGGCCGAUGCCGAGCCUAAUGGCCCCAUGGUAGUCAUCAUCCCCACCAUAGGAAUGAGCCUGGCCGACGGCAAUCCACUUCGGCGCCCAAUCACGCACGGCGAAUAUGAAUCGCGAUGGCUAUCUCCGGAGUGCCGGCUUGUAGGGAGCGACCCUCACAAGCAUGUGCGAAUGAGCACAAUGGCAAGUAGUUAUACGUCCAGUCACAAGUACCAAGUCCUCAUGUCAAAUAACAUGGAAUGUAUCGAAUGUCCCAAAGGCCUAUCUCUAUGUCAUCAUGUCUCUAACAUGGAAUAUAUAGCAGAUGUACAAUGGCCUAACAUUAUGUUUCUAUGUUGCAGUUUCAUAAUUUACUAAUUUCAAGUGAAUCUUGAUGACACUUUAUGCUACUAAGUCCAAACAUAGUAUAAUGUUUCCAAUACACGAAUAUGAGCUAAAUUAGCAUACUAGACGAGAAUCCCAUUCGUCCACAUGAACACUCCUCACAUGCAUGAAAAUAACACUGAUUACCCUAUUAUAUAGAGUGAAAAUUUAACUUACACAUAAGGCAUGCAUUUUAGGUGUUCUAAAAUUCACAUAAAUUCCAACUAGCAUAGAAAUGCAUUUAAAAAUAUUUACGAAGAGUUUAGAAAGCAUAGGGGCCAUUUCGCCCCAUUUUCAUGAAGUCAAACCCACCAAAACACUCGCGAUCCUUCGUAAGCUCCGACGAAGGUGUCAACUAGCCUCCUAGCACCCUAGAGAUGUAGGAACAAGGGUCAAACAAACAUAACGAACAACCACAAGGUUGAUCAUUAACCAUCUCAUGCUAGGGUUGGGAAAAACUCACCUCAAGUGAAAAACCCUC
rnacentral:lncRNA from 1 species